rnacentral:rRNA from 1 species
UACAGAGGUGGCAAGCGUUGUUCGGAAUUACUGGGCGUAAAGGGCGCGUAGGCGGCUUGGUCAGUCCCGUGUGAAAUCCCUCGGCUCAACUGAGGAACUGCACGGGAAACUGCCUGGCUUGAGUUCGGGAGAGGGAAGCGGAAUUCCGGGUGUAGCGGUGAAAUGCGUAGAUAUCCGGAGGAACACCGGUGGCGAAGGCGGCUUCCGGGACCGACACUGACGCUGAGGCGCGAAAGCGUGGGUAGCGAACGGG